GGUUUCCUUAGUUAAUCUCUUCCCAAAGGAAACAGCUUGAUAUAGAAGACACAGACGUUGGAGUUAUACAGACUGACUUCUCAACUGAACAGUGCGUCCCUGUGAGCUGUGUAACCCUGGGAUGGAAGCAAAAGCUUUUCAUCUGGAGGAAACAAGGGUGUUUCACUGCUCCUUCCUCUGCAUUCUUCACCGC
rnacentral:lncRNA from 1 species